UGCACCUAAAUUCAACGACACUCUUAAUGAUCAAAAUUCUGCAAACAUUCCACCAUCUUUGCAGUUUCAUGAUAGGGUAAAUGAUAAUAAGCAUUCUUCCAUUGUUUCUCCAUCAUCUCACUCUUAUACACCUGGAGUUUAUCCUUCCCAAGACUACCAUCCUCCUCCAUCUUCCCAGGAUUAUCAUCACCCACCACCUUCCCAAGAAUACCAUCCUCCUCCACCUUCCCAAGAUUACCAUCCUCCGCCACCUUCCCAGGAUUAUCCUCCUCCACCUUCCCAGGAUUACCAUCCUCCUCCACCUUCUCAAGAUUAUCAACCCCCUCCACCUUCCCAAGAUUACCAUCAGCCUCCACCUGCAAGAUCAGACAGUUCUUAUUCCGAGCCCUACAACCAC
rnacentral:lncRNA from 1 species